rnacentral:rRNA from 1 species
UACGGAGGGUGCAAGCGUUGUCCGGAAUCACUGGGCGUAAAGGGCGCGUAGGCGGCUCGGUAAGUAGGGGGUGAAAUCCUGCGGCUUAACCGCAGGGCUGCCUUCUAAACUGUCGAGCUCGAGCACGGUAGAGGCAGAUGGAAUUCCCGGUGUAGCGGUGGAAUGCGUAGAGAUCGGGAAGAACACCCGUGGCUAAGGCGGCUCUCUAGUACGGUACUGACGCUGAGACGCGAAAGCGUGGGGAGCGAACAGG